rnacentral:rRNA from 1 species
UACAGAGGGUGCGAGCGUUGUUCGGAAUUAUUGGGCGUAAAGGGCGCGUAGGCGGCCUUCUAAGUCGAACGUGAAAUCCCCGGGCUCAACCCGGGAACUGCGUCCGAGACUGGAAGGCUCGAAUCCGGGAGAGGGAUGUGGAAUUCCAGGUGUAGCGGUGAAAUGCGUAGAUAUCUGGAGGAACAUCGGUGGCGAAGGCGGCAUCCUGGACCGGUAUUGACGCUGAGGCGCGAAAGCCAGGGGAGCAAACGGG